UCAGGUUCUGUUUUAUUCUAUUGGACUUGUCAGUUGCAUUUAUGAUCCAGAAGAGAUUUUAUUAGCAGCAGCCACAAAAGGAUUUCUAAUUGAUAAAAAGCUCGCUAUUCAUGGACCACCUAUAGGAGCCCCUGUUUUAGUGCUAGGUGGACCACCGGGUUUUGGACCACUACCCUUUGGUGGCCCAUUCCCCUUCGGUGGGGGGCCCAUACCACCUCCAUUCUUCGGCCCAGGACCAUUACCGCCAUUUUUUGGACCAGGAGCCCCCUUCUUUGGACCACCGCCUUUUCCCAUUUAGGGAACCCAAACAAUUAGAAGCUUUACCAUUGAAAAUGUUAUUAGAUGUAUAAUGUAUCAAAUAAAAUCUGUUGUUUUCUUAUCAAAAUGGA